CACCGAUCCUCCCCAGGGCAUCACCCAGCCCCACAGCCCCCAGUUCCCCCCCCAGGACUCCUGGGUUCCCUACAUGCAGCACCCAAAGGCAUCCCAUGGGAUGUGGGCAGGAUAACGGGACACCCCUCACCCUGCAGGCCUAUGAGUGCCUGUUUGGGCUGACAGGGAUAGGGGAACCUGGGGCAAUAGGGUGGAGGCUGCAGUGGGGAGGUGUGAGGGGUGGGUGCAAUGCUCCCAGGAUAGCGGGGUGCUCCGAUGGACAUGGGAUGCUCAAGGUGGGUGGGAUGCCCAGAGGAGGACAGGAUGCUCGAGGCCAGGGGAAUGUUAUGAUGUGGAUGUGGAUGGGAUGCCUUGAAAAGGACAGGAUGCUCGAGGCCAGGGGAAUGCUAUGACGUGGAUGUGGAUGGGAUGCCUUGAAAAGGACAGGAUGCUGGAGGCCAAUGGGAUGCUCCGAGGCAGUGCCUCCACCACCAGAAGCAGGGUUGCCCUGCUCCCGUCCCCCUCCAUGCAUGUCCAGGCGGUCCCUGCGCCCGCUGCAGGGCAGGACGCGGCGUUCCAGCGGUUCCCGAGCUGUCCGUGCCCACCGAAACGCUCCCACAAUAAACCCACUGUGAGUGCUG